rnacentral:rRNA from 1 species
AUGGCGUCGCGCCUCCGCUCCUUCUCCCGUCCCGUCGCAGCCGCCUUCCUCCGCUCAGCUUCCGCCCGGAGCCCCGCGGCCUCUCUCCCCCGCGCUCUCUCUCCAACCCCCAGGGCUUCUUCCCUGGGGCGGCAGGUGGCGCUGGCACGAUCACUGCAGCCGCUGCACAGCGCAAUCUCGGCGGCGAGGCUAACGUCACGGCUUGGGGCAGAGGUGGCCCGGGCAGUGUCGCAGGAAACUGGUCUGAGUGUGCCUCGAUAA